GUCUAGAUGUCUCUCCAAAGCCUCCUGAGUCAUGGGUGGGGCCUUUCGGAGGUAGCUGGAUCUUAAAUGUGUGAUGGAUGGUGGGAUCAAGGGUAUAUGAUUACUAAAUUAGUGCAUUGCUGGGUUUGGCAUAGUUCUAGAUAGGAUUAAGGGUGCCCCGCCCUGGUGUGUGACUGCUACCUGCCCUGAGAGUGGGUAGACUGGCUCAGAUAAAACGGACAGAAAGAGGUUCACCAGUGGUAGCUACUUCACUGCUCCUUACCUUCACUGCUGGUUACCUUCUACCCACCCUGCUUUGCCAUGGACUGUUUCUUCUCUGUGAUGCCCCUCUGCCAUGCCAACCAGCCUUGGAGAAAGCUCACUACAGACUGAAACCUCUGCAAACUGGUGUUAUAACUUUGACAUGGUGAGCAAGCUUUGACCCUGGAGAAGAGGCCAAUAUCCUAGAAAAAAGAGCAAAAAUAUAAUUUGGAGAAGAUUCCUAAAGAAUUGUCAAGCCCUGCCCCACUAAACUCCUGUCAGGUUGAACUUCUAUGUGAAUGAAAAAUAAAUCUAUCUUGUUUCAUCCUCUGCUAUCUUCAUCUUUCAUAAUGCAGCUUCAUCAAUCUUGAUUCUAGUUUUUAAAUAUUGUUUAGCCCUUACAUAUACAUUUCUUUAAGCUAUUUCCAGUGUUUUUGUUGGAUGAAAUGAUGGAGAUAAGUAAGAAGAAAAGCAAAGAAAUGAAAGAAAA